UGGGGAAUAUUGGACAAUGGGCGAAAGUCUGAUCCAGCCAUGCCGCGUGUGUGAAGAAGGUCUUCGGAUUGUAAAGCACUUUAAGUUGGGAGGAAGGGCAUUAACCUAAUACGUUAGUGUUUUGACGUUACCGACAGAAUAAGCACCGGCUAACUCUGUGCCAGCAGCCGCGGUAAUACAGAGGGUGCAAGCGUUAAUCGGAAUUACUGGGCGUAAAGCGCGCGUAGGUGGUUUGUUAAGUUGGAUGUGAAAUCCCCGGGCUCAACCUGGGAACUGCAUUCAAAACUGACUGACUAGAGUAUGGUAGAGGGUGGUGGAAUUUCCUGUGUAGCGGUGAAAUGCGUAGAUAUAGGAAGGAACACCAGUGGCGAAGGCGACCACCUGGACUAAUACUGACACUGAGGUGCGAAAGCGUGGGGAGCAAACA
rnacentral:rRNA from 1 species